rnacentral:rRNA from 1 species
UACAGAGGUGGCAAGCGUUGUUCGGAAUUACUGGGCGUAAAGGGCGCGUAGGCGGUUCGUUAAGUCCUGUGUGAAAUCCCCCGGCUCAACUGGGGAACUGCACAGGAAACUAGCGGGCUUGAGUUCGGGAGAGGGAAGCGGAAUUCCGGGUGUAGCGGUGGAAAUGCGUAGAUAUCUGGAGGAACACCGGUGGCGAAGGCGGCAUCCUGGACCAAUUCUGA